rnacentral:tRNA from 1 species
AGUGGCUUAAACAUUUGGCUGUUAACCAAAAGGUCACUGGUGCGAAUCCAGCAGCCACUC